rnacentral:rRNA from 1 species
CAUUGCUAUUGGGAUCCGAUUUAGGCCAUGCUAGUCGCACGAGUUCAGACUCGUGGCGAAUAGCUCAGUAACACGUGGCCAAACUACCCUUUCGGAACACAAUACCCUCGGGAAACUGAGGCUAAUAGUGUAUACCAUACCACCACUGGAAUGAGUGGUAUGCCAAACGCUCCGGCGCCGAAGGAUGUGGCUGCGGCCGAUUAGGUAGACGGUGGGGUAAUGGCCCACCGUGCCAAUAAUCGGUAUGGGUCAUGAGAGUGAGAACCCAGAGACGGAAUCUGAGACAAGAUUCCGGGCCCUACGGGGCGCAGCAGGCGCGAAACCUUUACACUGCACGACAGUGCGAUAGGGGGAUCCCAAGUGCACAGGCAUAGCGCCUGUGCUUUUCGGUACCGUAAGGUGGUACCAGAAUAAGGGCUGGGCAAGACCGGUGCCAGCCGCCGCGGUAAUACCGGCAGCCCAAGUGAUGGCCGAUCUUAUUGGGCCUAAAGCGUCCGUAGCUGGCCGCGCAAGUCCAUCGGGAAAUCCACCUGCUCAACAGGUGGGCGCCCGGUAGAAACUGCGUGGCUUGGGACCGGAAGGCGCGACGGGUACGUCCGGGGUAGGAGUGAAAUCCCGUAAUCCUGGACGGACCGCCGAUGGCGAAAGCACGUCGCGAGGACGGAUCCGACAGUGAGGGACGAAAGCCAGGGUCUCGAACCGGAUUAGAUACCCGGGUAGUCCUGGCCGUAAACAAUGUCUGCUAGGUGUGGCUCCCACUACGAGUGGGUGCUGUGCCGUAGGGAAGCCGCUAAGCAGACCGCCUGGGAAGUACGUCCGCAAGGAUGAAACUAAAG